rnacentral:rRNA from 1 species
CCUACGGGUGGCAGCAGUGGGGAAUAUUGGGCAAUGGGCGCAAGCCUGACCCAGCAACGCCGCGUGAAGGAAGAAGGCUUUCGGGUUGUAAACUUCUUUUAUCAGGGACGAAGCAAGUGACGGUACCUGAUGAAUAAGCCACGGCCAACUACAUGCCAACAGCCGCGGGAAUACGUAGGUGGCAAGCGUUACCCGGAUUUACUGGGUUGAAAGGGCGUGUGGGCGGGAGUGCAAGCCAGAUGUGAAAACUAUGGGCUCAAACCAUAGCCUGUAUUUGAAACCGUACUUCUGGAGUGCGGGAGAGGCAAGCGGAAUGACGUGUGUAGCGGUGAAAUGCGUAGAUAGACGGAGGAACACCGGUGGCGAAGGCGGAUUGCUGGACAGUAACUGACGCUGAGGCGCGAAAGCGUGGGGAGCGAACAGGAUUAGAUACCCUGGUAGUC